rnacentral:rRNA from 1 species
UACGGAGGAUGCGAGCGUUAUCCGGAUUUAUUGGGUUUAAAGGGUGCGCAGGCGGCGUGUCAAGCAAGCGGUAAAAUAGCGGGGCUCAACCCCGUCGAGCCGUUUGAACUGGCGCGCUUGAGUUCAGGCGAGGUAGGCGGAAUUCGUGGUGUAGCGGUGAAAUGCAUAGAUAUCACGAAGAACUCCGAUUGCGAAGGCAGCUUACCAGUCGGCGACUGACGCUCAGGCACGAAAGUGUGGGUAUCGAACAGG